rnacentral:rRNA from 1 species
UGGGGAAUCUUGGACAAUGGGGGCAACCCUGAUCCAGCGAUGCCGCGUGAGUGAAGAAGGCCUUCGGGUCGUAAAGCUCUUUAGGUUGGGACGAAGUGUGCGGGAGGAAAUGCCCGUAUAUUGACGGUACCGACAGAAUAAGCACCGGCAAACUCUGUGCCAGCAGCCGCGGUAAUACAGAGGGUGCAAGCGUUAAUCGGAGUUACUGGGCGUAAAGGGCGCGUAGGCGGUGAUAUGAGUGUGAUGUGAAAGCCCCGGGCUUAACCUGGGAAGUGCAUCGCAAACGAUAUGACUGGAGUAGAUGAGAGGGUGGCGGAAUUUCCGGUGUAGCGGUGAAAUGCGUAGAGGUCGGAAGGAACGUCAAUGGCGAAGGCAGCCACCUGGCAUCAUACUGACGCUGAGGCGCGAAAGCGUGGGGAGCGAACAGGAUUAGAUACCCUGGUAGUCCACGCUGUAAACGAUGAGGACUGGAUGUUGGUAGGGGAACCUAUCAGUAUCGAAGCUAACGCGAUAAGUCUUCCGCCUGGGAAGUACGGCCGCAAGGUUGA